AUGUGUCCUGUUUCAGUUACUGAUGAUAGCGAAGAGUGGACUGGAGAUGAUGAGACCUUGUCCACUUUACCAGAAAGCUUGGGUCCUAACAGAGCUGUCUCAAUGCCAGACAUGUUUGGUAUUGUCAGUGCUCACCGUGCACUGAGUGCUGACAGUAUGGAGGACAUCCCCUCUCAGCACGAGGCUCUUCAGAAGCUCGCGGUCUUCUUCCAGAACUCCAGAGAAGAGCUCAAUACUGUAACGGAUCACACCAGCUCAAUUCCAGCCAAGUCUUCUGAGUGUUGUGGAGGAACCUCCUUAUGUGUGAGUAUGACUGGAGAGACUACAUGA
ensembl:lncRNA